UACGAAGGGGGCUAGCGUUGUUCGGAAUUACUGGGCGUAAAGCGUGCGUAGGUGGUGAGUUAAGUCUGUCGUGAAAGCCCCGGGCUCAACCUGGGAAUGGCGAUGGAUACUGGCUCGCUAGAGUGCGGUAGAGGAGAGUGGAAUUCCCGGUGUAGCAGUGAAGUGCGUAGAGAUCGGGAGGAACAUCAGUUGCGAAGGCGGCUCUCUGGACCAGCACUGACACUGAGGCACGAAAGCGUGGGGAGCAAACAGG
rnacentral:rRNA from 1 species